rnacentral:tRNA from 1 species
UGGCUCAGAUGGUAAAGCAUCUGCCUGCAAUGCUGGAGACCAGGGUUCAAUCCCUG